UGUGGCAGGGCUCAGUGUGGCUGUCUCCUCUGGGGUUGCUGGCUGUGGAGGCUGUGGGCGGAGCGAUGAGGUCGUCGGCCGUGGGCGGGGUUCCGUCGGCAGUUGGAGUAUCGGGGGAGGCGGCAGCAGCUGCGGUGAGGGUGGUGUGUGAGGUGUUGUAUCUGUGGAAGUGGAGGUGGUGAGUGCAGCAGCGGUUCCGGAAGUGGUGUGGCCGGCGGAGGCGGAUGUGACGUCAUCGGUGGGGUCUCCGGCCGUGUCUUCAUGUUCAAUGGCGGCGGGGCAGACAACAUCAGGUGAAGAUGUGCGUGAUUUCAGCAAGGUGCUGAAAAAUAAGUAAGAAAUAUUUUGCCAAACAUCCUCGCUUGGGUUAUUUACCAGUACAAACAGCUCUAGAAGGCGAGAACCUUGAGACUGGAUCUGUUGGAGUUGCACACAGCGCAACGCGUCUUUGAUCAACACAAAUUGACACAAACCGAGCAACUUCUGAAUGUGACUGAAGUAAUCAACUGUUUAACGUCCAUUUAUGAUGUUUUGGAACAAAACCACAAGGACUUGGUCAAUGUGCCACUCUGUGUCGACAUGUGUCUGAACUGGCUGCUGAACGUAUUUGAUACGCACUCAGACAUGAACUAAUGGAUAAGGAGGAGACAAUCAGAACUGCUUUGGAUUCAGCCCAUAGAAGGGCCAGAGGAGUCGCGCUGACACCUUCAUGUUUAAACAGAGGACACUUUUCUGCGUGCCACUAGAUGUAUAUCAGCCAUACCAAAAUGCUGCCUUUGCCUGAGACAGGGAAGAUGAAAUGACUUUGGGGAAAUGGAGAAUCAUUCAUGAAUCCAGUUACUUUCUGAUCUGACAGCUUUGUGGCAUCUGAAUGGAUAACAAUUUGAUCUGAUGUUGCCAGACCCGGUGAGCUAUUCCAGCAACUUUGUUUUCGUUCCUGAUGAGCUGCGACUUUGUACUUGACUGAUUUCCAACAUCAAAAGUUCUAAAGGUUGGAAGAGAUUGGUUUACCUUGACUUCCUAGCUUGAAAAUGUGCCUUUUAUGCAAAGAAACUGUACUCUGGGACAGUGGUUUUGCAGAUUUACCUGCAGGUCCAGCUGUGAAUCGGAGUUGAAGUAGUUGCAAGCACUGAUGAAUAGGCAGCUAUUUAGCCUCUGGAUGGAAUCCUGUGGAAGCGACGAGGGUCUAGGUCAUUGACUCGAGAACUGAUGAGGGAACGGCUUGCCCCAACCAGCUUCCCUUCAGGGGAGCGCCAGCCUCAGGUCGCUCCCCUCAAGGGGUACGUCAUCCUGACCUUGCUCCUCUCAUGCGUAGGCAGCUACAUCUUUCUCCCCUCUGGCACAUAAUAGACCGGCGGCAAACCUGGUGGGAUGCCACUUUCCAUGAGCAGUUGGCUAACCAGAACCCAGCAGGUGUAGUAAGCAGCAGUGUCACUUGGGAGGUGAUGAUCUCUGUUACCAUUGGCAACCAACCUACGAUUAUUGCUCGAUCUCAGGCCAGGAUUGAGUGAAACACCAUUAGCACGCCACUUCCCCUUCUUGAUGUUGCACAUUGAAUGCCUUUGAAAGCCUGUUACAUUUCUUAAUGGUGACACCCCUGCCCACUGUUGAGUCAAUACCAGUUGUUGUGGGAUGAUGUAUGUGUACGUCAGUUGCUCAAUUGGGGACUUUAACUCGCAAUGAAGUUGGGAAGUUAUGCACAAGUCUUCUCACCAUGGAUUUAAUCUGGCUCUAAGCAGAAUUGUAGGUGGUGCCAUCCUUCCACCUGAUUAAAUGUCCUCUAUUUUCAAACUUGCCACAAGGGAAAGUACAAAAUCCCGCUGUUUUUGUUAUCAAUUCAUGGUUUUUAAUUUUGCAAUCAGUGUUGUAAGCAGCAGAUUAGUUCAGUCCUUGUGAAAUUGAAGGCAAUGCAACACUUUAAUUGGUCACUUUUUAACAUGGUAGGUUCUCAGACUGAGGAAAUGGUGAAUGUUGUUGAUCUUUAAUGCAAUAUAAUGGAGGAGAGAAAAAUCUGGACUACAGAGCCCACAGGAAGAAAAUUAUAAUCUGUCAGUGCUGCCUCCAUUAGAACAAUGCCAAGUAAAUACCCGUCCCCAUAUCGAACAAUAGAAGUUUCCUGCAUAUCAGAACAUACCCAUUGAGUGGGGAACUGAUGAAUAAUGCAGGAGCACCAUCGGAUUGAAAUACUUUUAUUCUAAGAAUUUCAGAACAUGCUGGGAUUUUUAUAGCAAGCAAUACUUGUGAUGGAAUAUUCUUUUAAUGUCAAAAUGCUGCAACAGUUUGGAAGAACCAAUAUUAAAUGGAUAUUAUUGCAGAUAA